rnacentral:rRNA from 1 species
CCUACGGGUGGCUGCAGUGGGGAAUAUUGGACAAUGGGGGAAACCCUGAUCCAGCAAUGCCGCGUGAAUGAAGAAGGCCUUAGGGUUGUAAAAUUCUUUUGUCCGUGACGAUAAUGACGGUAGCGGACGAAUAAGCCCUGGCUAACUCUGUGCCAGCAGCCGCGGUAAUACAGAGAGGGCAAGCGUUGUCCGGAAUGACUGGGCGUAAAGCGCGCGCAGGCGGUUUCUUAAGUUGGAUGUGAAAUCCCCGGGCUUAACCUGGGAACUGCAUUCGA